rnacentral:rRNA from 1 species
GAUCAUGGCUCAGGAUGAACGCUAGCUACAGGCUUAACACAUGCAAGUCGGAGGGGCAGCAUGAACUUAGCUUGCUAAGUUUGAUGGCGACCGGCGCACGGGUGAGUAACACGUAUCCAACCUGCCGAUGACUCGGGGAUAGCCUUUCGAAAGAAAGAUUAAUACCCGAUGGCAUAAUUCUUCCGCAUGGUAGAAUUAUUAAAGAAUUUCGGUCAUCGAUGGGGAUGCGUUCCAUUUAGGG